rnacentral:rRNA from 1 species
GACAGAGGAUGCAAGCGUUAUCCGGAAUGAUUGGGCGUAAAGCGUCUGUAGGUGGCUUUUUAAGUCCGCCGUCAAAUCCCAGGGCUCAACCCUGGACAGGCGGUGGAAACUACCAAGCUGGAGUACGGUAGGGGCAGAGGGAACUUCCGGUGGAGCGGUGAAAUGCGUUGAUAUCGGAAGGAACGCCGGUGGCGAAAGCGGUCCGACUGGGUCCCCACUGACGCUGAGGCGCGAAAGCCAGGGAGCAAACGGG